UGCCAGCGGAUCAGGCGUAAAAUAGUCGACCCCAGAGAUGCAAACUCGUAAAAAAGCGUA
rnacentral:ncRNA from 1 species